rnacentral:lncRNA from 1 species
UGGGAACGAAAUGAUAGUAUAAUUGUCCAUGUAAAGAAAUUGGAGUAACACAUCACUGGGUUUGAGCUCCGAAUGUCAUCCAAAUCAAGUUCAAAUCUUCUACAAACCUGAUAGUAGGUAAUUCCUAUAUUCGAACACAACCCCGAACACUACAGAUAAGCAUGCAUGGUGUGCUCCGUUCCCUAUACACCCCAAAGACCACCAACAGAAAGAUAACAAAGUAGUCCUUUUUGCCAUGGUUAUAACAUAAUAUUUCAGUCUUUGUUAAAGAUGUCUACAGUUAUAUUCACUUAGCAUCAAAUUAUAGAUAAUCUUAUGCUAGACACCUUAAAUGUAGGGAACUCAUUAAUUUUGUCUUCUGUGUGGCAGGAGCCGAGGAGUAUUUUGACUAUGAUGAAGAUAGUGCAUUUGGGCCUCAACACUGGGGAGAUCUGGAUCCGGAUUGGGCAACCUGCCAAGAUGGGAAAAAGCAAUCACCAAUAAAUAUAAAUCAUGAGAUUAUUGAAGUGGAUUCGAGUAUUGGAAGCUUGAUGACAAGUUACAACAGCACUUUUGCAAUUAUGCAAAAUACGGGCCAUUACAUAUUGGUAAGAAGUAGAACAUGAACAAGAAGGGGAAAUAAAAGAACCAGUAAUCUCAUCUUUUUAUUUUCUGUUGCUAAAUAGAAGGGCUAAAGUCCCUCUAAACAUAUUCGUUAAAUCAAUGAAAAGAUAUUACUAUGUUUUACAUUGUUUUUAGGUUUUAUUUUACUCUUUUUUUUAUGAUUUUUUAUAAAAAUUUUGUUCAUAUAAUUUCUUUUUUAUUUUUCUUAUGUGAAUGUAGAUUAACUGGACAGAAGGCGCAACACCUGGUGCAGGAUCUCUUUUGAUUGAUGGCAAGGACUAUGUUCUUCAACAAUGUCAUUGGCACUCACCCUCUGAGCAUAUAUUUUUUUGGUGAGAGGUACCUUUCUAUAACUCCAUCUCCACCCUUUUUUUUGGUAACAUAAAUUUGUUAUAGGGAGGGUGACAUUGUGUGGCCUCGAAAUUGGAUUUAUACAUUUCAAAAAUGCUUUAGUAACUCAAAAAUGUCAUUAAACAAGCCGCUUGGUGCGAUGUAUUCUAAUUGCUCCCUUUGAAUUGCUAUCAUCAACUGUGCCAUUAAAUGAAGCAAGGUGAUUCAGUGAUUGGUAUAAAGCACCUGAAUGACUAUUCUGAGUUACUUUAGCAUCACUCCAUAUGCAUUUUAUAUGUUAAUUAUUUGCUAUCUGAUGUUUUAUUAUUCUUGACCCCAAAAUUGGGCCCGGCCCACCCAUUCGACCUGACACACUGUGUCACUAUGCCUAAGUCCAGCGGAUGGGUCCAACAGGAUGGGCCAAAUUUGCCCAGGUCUAGCCGGCCCACAUUCUACAUGCCUGGAGUAAGCUUUGAGCAAAUAGAAGUUGAAGAACUCUUCAGAACAUGAGUCAAGAAAAAACUUCUAUAAUUAUAUGGCAUCCUAUGAAAAAUAAACCCUUUUCUAGAAUAAGAUAUAUGUUAGCAUGUCGCUUAACUCAAAAUGUGUUUUACAGUUUUCAAGUAACAACACAUCUUGGAGGUGUAAAAACCAAUGAUUUUAGUUAAUGUUACUUUAUUUGAUUUAAUGUAAUAACUCAAGGCCUCAUCUUAAAACUCUUGAGAUGUGCUUUGCCCUUUUCAAGUUACAACAUGCCUUAGAGGCUUAAGACUAUGGAUUUCAAUUAACAAUGCUUUUUUUGAUUUAGUAUAACAUUAAUCCGGGAUCUCAUCUAAAAAGGACUAGCUAAAAGGUAGUCAAGAUCUCUCAAACAAUACUCUCUCCAUUUGGUCCAAAUCUAAUCAAUUCAAUUUAUAAACACCAGACCAUGAUAGCCCUAUUGUCAUCUCAAAAAGGGCCCAUAUUAUAAUAUCCCCUAGUCCAUAUAGACAGUGGGCUAGGUUAGCUUUGAUGGCCUCACCUAAAAACGAUUAGCCAAAAUGCAUUAUUUGGUUUCCUGGUUUUGUAUUAGUAUCUAAUAUCUUCCUAGCACACAAGUAAUAUAGAUUGAAUACAAUACUCAUAUAGGUAGGAUUUGAGUUCCUUCUUUGUAUAAGUAUUCAAGAUCUUUUCAACAUAUAACUAAUGUAGAAUGAAAUACAUGCUCGCGUGGAACCUCAAUCAAAGAACCGAAAUAAUACCAUUUGUCUAACCUUUUUCGGAUAAGGUUCGGAGUUGUUAUAAUUUGUAUCAGAGUGGACCAGUCAUACAAUCUAUGUAUGAUUGUGGUAAAGAUGUCUGCGCUUAAACAGGGGAGAACCUGUGUGGACAUGUAUUUACUUGUAUAAUAGUUACGAGCUCUAAAGAUUUUGAUAUUCAUUUAGAGCCAAGGAACUCAAAUAAUAUAUUUCAGAUAGCUUUGUCAGGAUAAGAUCCGUUGUUAUUAAAAUUUUAUAUUUUAUAUUUGUAAAACUCAGCUUCAAAGAGUGAAAAAAUAUGAAACAUGGAUGCGCAGAUGCUUGGACACACAUUAAUACUUUGCUCAUAUUUUAAUGGAAAAUGCUGCAUUAUUCUCUUCCUUCCCUCUGUAGACCAUCCUAGAGAAACUGGUUCCAAGAGAUCAUCCCAACAGAUUUCAAGAUAUUAUCCCUCUCAUAGCACAUCUCACGUAUUUUGGAAGUCAAUUUCCAGCCUCUUACCUUUCGGUGUUUGUAACCUAAGCCAUAAAUAUGUACUUGUAGGUAUCCUCUGGAGUUGCAUAUGGUCCACAUGAAUUCAGAUGGAAGCAUAGCUGUCAUUGGCAUCUUGUACCAACAUGGCUCUCCUGAUCCGUUCCUUUCAAAGGUUUGACAUCAAAAGAACGUACCUUCUUUUACCUUUUCCUCUUCACUCCAACUUAAGCAGGCUAAUCUUUAUUGGCUCAGCUGCGGAACUACUUGGAGUAUCUGAUACGGGAGCAAAAAGAUGAGGUUGUCGUGGGAUAUUUACCUCCACCACCAAUAGAGAAUCGAGCUCCUUAUUAUAGAUACUCUGGCUCUCUAACCACUCCACCCUGCACUGAAAAUGUUACUUGGAUCCUACUACGAGAGGUUUGCAUCAUCUUUAACUUACCUAUUAUGCUUGCCUCCUUUGCUAAGCUCUGCCUCUUUAUCAAUCAAUUCAUUGUGGUUUUAGGUGAGGCCCGUAUCAGAAGGACAAGUAGACCUGCUAAGGGCUGCUUUACAUUAUGUAAGUUGGCUGAUUGAGAAUUAUCAUAUUCAAUGCAAUGCAAUUACAUUAGAUUACUUAAAUAUCUUUGUAGCUUGCUGAUGGCCGACGAAAUGGUCUAUUUUGUGUUCAAUUACCUUUCUGCAGAAGGACAAUGCAAGACCAAUUCAACCAAUCAACGGACGCAAGGUCUACUUGUACAAACCAUGGAUACACGAAGAUCAUGCGAGUCCUAUUGCUACAUAAUUACUUUGAUGGGAAAAUCUUAUUCCAAACAGCAAAUAAAAUAACCAAGAGUUUAGCAUACUUUGUUGCUCUGCUUUUAAAAUCUGAAAUAAGGUGUUGUGGCCCUACGUUGAAGGCCAGCCGCUUAAAUAAACAUUUCAGUCCAUGGUACAUAGUGAUCGUAAUGCAAUGUAUUCUCUUUUCUUGUAUCAGCUAUUUCUUUCUUGUGCACUAGUUUGUAACCUUGGAUACCAUCAGAACGAUCGUUAUUUGCUGUAUGAUAAAUGAUUUGCUAUUUGGUGAAGAAUGACUUGCACAAACGAUGUCAACAUAUUUUACUAGUUAUAAUGCACAUGUCUAUGUACGUGUGUAUCAAAUAAAAUAUCAUAAUAAUUUCGUGUAUAAAUUAUUAUGUUGAAAAUCCAUUUAUUGCUAAUGGCACAUACAAAGACAGAAAACCUAAUUUGAUGCGGACUUGAAAAAUAGUACUUGAGAUAGAAAGGCUAGGAGGAAUGAUAAAAUUAUAUAUAGCCUCGACUUAUAUCUAGUCUGACCUGAUCCGAUUGCCACCUCUAGGACUCAAUUGCUACCAAGUCAAUAGCACCCAUCUCCUUCUGCAACAUCAAUAAAAGAAAUUAUGUGAUUUGUGGGCGCCCUAUUGUAUUGCUCUUUAGAUUAACGAAACCUAUACAUGCUGGCCGAUUAAGCCUAGAAAAUAUUACAGAUAAAAAUGUUCCAAUUAGAGAUCUUCUGAAAAAAAGUAGUGAGGUUAUAAAUCAUAAUCUGGAGGAUGAAAUAAUCAUAACCGAUCAUGAUCUGGCUGACAAAAACUAGAUCGGAUCAGAUACCUUGCCAAAGGCAAUGAUGAUCCUGGAGGAGUCUAUUUAAAUUAGAGGUAAGAUGGACACAGGUUUGUGACUUUCUUUGCAUGUGCCUACCACUAUCAUAGAGCAAAUACCGAUUCCUGUUAUCACUUGCAAUGCAAAUGCUGAAUCUAUUCAUCACGUGUUUGUCACCUGCCCAUUCUCAAUGGAAGUUUGGAAUGCUGUCAGCUUUUGCCUGAAUGCAUCGGUUCCUCCACCCAGGCUGGACUUCUCAUAUCAAAACCGGACUUCACAGUCCUUUCCGGAGGACCAACAGCAAAUCAUCCUCAUGUUCAUCUCCUCUUUUUCAUGGGCCUCGUGGAAAGAAAGAAAUUCUAGGAUUUUCUCGAGGAAAUCUUCUAUACCUGUUUCAGUUGCUCAGAAUGGUCUCAACAUGCUCAAAGAUUGGUCCGUCCUUUAUCAGAGCAAACACCUCAAAGUUUGGACAAAAAUCAAGAACAUCAGCACUAUCUUAAAGGAUUCAUGGUUCCAUAUACAGCUUACUACUUGAAAAAUCCAUCCCUAGCUGUUUGAAGUGGCUGAUCCUCUUUGUUUUUCCUGCAGAGCCUUGAGUUUUCACAACAAGAGAGUGUUCAUCACCUCUCUGGUCUUUCACUACUCUAUCCCUUGGAUGGACCUCUCUUCUCCAUGAGCCUGCUGCUACUUAUUUCUUUUGUUGAUUGUGAGACAACAUUGUUAAAGAAUCACUUUGCCCUAUUCUCUUAUAUAUAGUGCUACGUAAAUAACUUCUUUCAGUAAAAAAUUUGGAUGGCUCUUUUUUAGCCUCCCUUAUCAUCAAAAAAAAAGAAAAAGUUAAAACUUGUUGCAAUCUCAAUUUUACCAUAUUCGCUGAGAAUUUAAUAUCUUGGUGCCUAUAUGUCAACUGAAAUCUUGGAAACUCUUAGUUCUUCCUAAAAUUUCUGCACCUUCUAUUGCUGUUGAGAUAAACACAGAUCUAUGUACAUGACAAUUGAUACGUAUUAAAUUUCUGAUAUCAGCUUGAUAUUACCAUGACCUUCAAUCCCAUUUAAGAAUACAUCCUUGAACUUUGGCUAACUCUUUGGGAAAGAGUUUUAAUGAAAAUGAUGGAAAAAAUAUUGGACACCUCGACCUCAGGCUAUACUGACCUCGACAACCUCGGCCUCGACCGAAGAGAGCAACUUCGGUCCCGAUUGAGGAGCUAACCGAUCAAAGUGAGCAACUUCGUCUCUGACUGAGGAGUCCAUUCAACACGUGCCAUCAGGGACUGACAGUCCUAACAACCGAUGGCCUUGGCAGCCCGUAGUCAUGACAGCACUAUAGUCUGCACCCAACUAGCACUAAGAAUAACUGGAAUUGAACGAGCAAACGGAGGCUGAAAGCAUGCCGUCCACACGGACUAGCUUUCACGCUGCGGCUGUACCAUCGGCCAUUGCCUGGCCGUCUUUGUUCUUCACAUCAGUCCAGAUAACGAAAAAAUACUCUCUUAUAUAAAGGGGCAACUCGAGAGAUCUCAGGAAUGAGGUAGAAAGCCUCUUUUUUAAUGACUCUGUCAAAGUAACAAGACCAUUAUUUCUGACUUUUUGAAGGGGUCCGACCUAAAUCGACUAUCACCCUCGCUUUCCUCAUCUUUGCUUAUGGUGCCGUCUUUUGAAUUAGAAGAAAUGCCAUGCGUUUGAUAACAUAUUACUAUGGAAGUCGAAGAGGGGCAGCUCCUCUUAGACUUCUCAACAGGUAGUCACCCUCAGAAAAGAAAAGGGAAAACAUGCCAAUUUAACAUUUGUGACAUCAAUUGGGGCCUUUGGAUCUAUGAUUUCAAUGAUUUAUAUGUAAGACUAUCAAAAGUUGUGAUGUCUUUCAAAUUUUUGAGUAUAAAAUAACCUCCUAAAUAUUGGAAUUUGCAUGAAUUCCUUUCCAAAAUUGAUAUUUGCAUGUAUACUAUUAUAUAAUACUUGUUUUGCAUGUAUAUCCUUCUGAUCCUUUUCUUUUUUGUAUUUGCACCCACAUCAUCUAAUGCCAUUAAAAAAUUUGUAGUUUAAAAUUGAAAUGACUGAAGUACCUUUAAUGGAUAAAUAUGAAGAAAAAAAUAUUUAUAAGGGUGUAUAUACAAAUAAAAAUUUUAUGAGGGUGUUCAUACAAUUUCACAUAUUUAGGAGGGUAUACACGCCAUAAAAUUCUUAGAUUUUUUUACAUGAAUAUCCUCCUAAAUAUUAAAAUUUGCAUGAAUACCUUCCCAAAAUUAAUAUUAGCAUGGACACUUUGACAUAACAGUUUAGUUGAUAUAAUUAGACAAAAUCAUAUCUAUCUAAAUUAUAAAUUAAUUAAAUUAUGAAAUUACCGCAAAAGUAGGUAACAGGUUAAUGGGUCUUGUUGAGAACUUACCAAUUCCAUUGAACUUCCUAUCUUUGCACGCGAUCGCUCUCUUCCGCUUAAGAUCGCCCUAAUCCCUCUACCUUCUUUGUAAAAUUUUGCAAUCUCUUUCGAUCCCUCUCUUUCACUCUUCCAUCUAGAAUCAAAACCUUUUUCUUGACUCCCUUUACCAUCAACAACCCUUCUCUAUUGACCCCUCUUUUUUUUCUUUUAGUGUGUGAGAUUUGUAAUAUUUAUCUUUUAGAACCAAAAAACUUCUUGUGUGCAAGUAGGUGGCUGAUUUAAAAUUAUUGUAAUAAAAUGAGUCUCAUAGGUCUUUUUCUUCUUUCUGAAAAUCGAAGCUCCAAACAAAAAUAGCUUAAGCAUAAGGGGUGGCCUUUUAUCAUAUGAGUGCAGAGGUUGUUAGUUUGAAGGAUUUUGAAGUCCUUCAAUGGCUUUGCUCGGGGACGAUUAAUAUUUUUCUUCAACCCAUAAGGACAGCAGUAGUAAGAAAGCUUGAUUAUUGCAAUCUAUUGUGUGCCUUUAAGAGAUUCUAAUCUAUUUCUAUAUUCUGAUUUAUACCAUCACAGAUGCAUCUAUAACAAUAAAUAUUACAAGUUGAUUUUCGAUUAAAUGAGACAUAAUGGUUAUUGUAAAUGAUUUAUGGUAUAAAAUACAAUCAUUCGGACAACUGUGUAUGUUCUCGUGUCCAAGAUCCAAUUCGUUUACUAGUUUCUUGGCUUUAUAAGAAGAUGACGGCAAAGUAACACCUUCCGAAAAUGCAUUCUUUAAUAAUUGAAGUGGCAUAGUGAAAGACUUGCUAGACCACCCAUUCAAAUAUUUUAAAUAAAAUAAAUGCAUAAAAAAAGAAAUCUUCAACAAAUUCUUUCCAUGCGGAUAUAGUUUUUGAUCUCAAUCUUUCAUCAAGUUAUGAUACCGAGUUAUGUCAUCAUUAGAUGAAUGUAUAGAUUCCUCAGCAUGCAUACAAUUAGUAAAUGUACACUCAUCACCUAUUGUACCUGCUUCUUGUUCUCCACUGAAAUCUACUAUAUUUUCUAUACCAUGUCCAAGAGCAUAUCUGAGUAAGGCCCUUAUAUCAUCUUCUCCUACAGAAUUUCUUUCCAUGUUACUGGAUCCAAAACUAGAGGUGUUUCUAUAUAGGAGGCUUGGUUACAUGGAGAUGGCAAUAUGGACUCUCCAUGAAAAAUCCAUUCAAUAUAACCCUUUAGAAAACUAUUUCACACCAAAUGUUCUUCAACAGUUUUUGGAGCGAAAGAAGAACAAUUUAUACAUUUUCAACAUGGACAUAAAAUCUUUUCGUUCAUAUUAGAUUUCUCAAAAGCAAAUUUAAUAAAAUUCUGAACUCCAUUCGAAUAUUCUUUGCUGGAUCUCAACUUAUUUAUCCAACUUUGGUCCAUUUUAUUAGAAUACUGAUUGUAUUGCAACUUAUUUACAAAAGAUAAACGAAAUUAAAUAUUUAAUAUUACAUUCCAAAUGAACAACUGGUCUUCUAAGAUAUGAAGGCAGCAAAAGCAUUACCAGAUCCUACAAUACAUGACCUAGACUUGUUUAGUGGUGGAUCCAUGGUGAGAUUGCUCAAGGUAGAAGGUGGACUCAACAUCUCAAAAAAGUUUCACCCUUAGCUAAGCCUACUUGGGAAUCAUGCUGAGAAUACUUCAGAGAUAAUCAAGUUUAUUCCUCUUCAAUAAUAUAUCUAAGAAAGGUCUCUUCUCUAGAUUAUCUUAUUACUCUUCUUAAACAACAUAUUCAUUCAAUUUUGGCAAACAAAAUUAUUAAUCAGGUUUUCUAGCUAUUUUUUUAGAGGGGAAUACGAGCAAUCUAGACAAUUUUCUAUUUUUUUCCAAGAAAUCUCUCCUCAGCGUAUGCGUUGAGGAGAAUGGUGCAAGCCGGCCGAACCAUAUUGCAUCGCACGUAUAAGACCCGAGCAAUGGACUAAUGCGGCAAUCUCAAAUUAAAUGGCUGCUAGUCUCUUUUCAUAAGAUCAGGAUUGUGUUGAGGGCAAGAUUUGUGAAUGAGAAGACCGGAAUACUUUUAAAAAUCUGAAUUGGUGAGCACAUCAAAUCCAGCAAAUGCAUGUGCAACCCAGCAAGAUUCAUCAAGCACACCAAGUGUUAGAUAUCUAGGGGAAGCAGCAACCAUUGUUAAAAUCCAUGCACGAUUUAAGUAAAACUAAAUAUUUGAUCAGUAUUAAAAGCAACAGUCGUUAUUAAAUCAAGUUCCGUGGGGAUGCGAUUAGCAAAAAUUCAACUUUGGUAAACAAAAAUUAUUAAUCCAGAAUUAGAGAGGAAAAUCAUGCAAUGAUAUAAACGAGGCCGCAAUUAAUUUAUAGAGGAGUGGGUUACCUAAGAUCUGUGGGCUGGCUUUCUUUCUCGUCAAUGGAGGAUGACAGUCGGCUAGAGUUUGGAAGAAGACAGUGGAACGGCGGUGGCUAUAGGCAGGGAAGGAGGAUGGAGAAAGAGGAGGAGGAUGCAGCUAUGCUCCGAUAGUGGGUUCUCUGGAGACGGAGGCCGGAGAAGGAGGGGGAGGAUGCAACUAUGCUGGUGGAGGACUCUCUGGAGGAGGAGGAGGAUGAAGCUUUGGGGGAUUACUCUCGGGAGGAGGAGAAGAAGAAGAAGGAGGAGGAUGAGUAGGGCUCGUCGAUUUGGGGCUCCGCUCUCUGGGGUUAGGGAUUUGGGGGGCUUUCGAGGAUUUAUAUCCAUCGUCUUGUUCUUGCUCUUGGAUUCCGAUGGUGUUUAAUUGCGCCGUCUAAUACCACCGACACUUCUGUGUUCUGG